AGUGAACGCUGGCGGUAGGCCUAACACAUGCAAGUCGAACGGCAGCACAGUAAGAGCUUGCUCUUACGGGUGGCGAGUGGCGGACGGGUGAGGAAUACAUCGGAAUCUACUUUUUCGUGGGGGAUAACGUAGGGAAACUUACGCUAAUACCGCAUACGACCUACGGGUGAAAGCAGGGGAUCUUCGGACCUUGCGCGAUUGAAUGAGCCGAUGUCGGAUUAGCUAGUUGGCGGGGUAAAGGCCCACCAAGGCGACGAUCCGUAGCUGGUCUGAGAGGAUGAUCAGCCACACUGGAACUGAGACACGGUCCAGACUCCUACGGGAGGCAGCAGUGGGGAAUAUUGGACAAUGGGCGCAAGCCUGAUCCAGCCAUACCGCGUGGGUGAGGAAGGCCUUCGGGUCGUAAAGCCCUUUUGUUGGGAAAGAAAAGCAGCAGGUUAAUACCCCGCUGUUCUGACGGUACCCAAAGAAUAAGCACCGGCUAACUGCGU
rnacentral:rRNA from 1 species